GUUUGAUCCUGGCUCAGAUUGAACGCUGGCGGCAGGCCUAACACAUUCAAGUCGAACGGUAGCACAGAGAGCUUGCUCUUGGGUGACUAGUGGCGGACAGGUGAGUAAUGUCUGGGAAACUGCCCGAUGGAGGGGGAUAACUACUGGAAACGGUAGCUAAUACCGCAUAACGUCGCACGACCAAAGUGGGGGACCUUCUGGCCUCACACCAUCGGAUGUGCCCAGAUGGGAUUAGCUAGUUGGUGAGGUAAUGGCUCACCAAGGCGACGAUCCCUAGCUGGUCUGAGAGGAUGACCACCCACACUGGAACUGAGACACGGUCCAGACUCCUACGGGAGGCAGCAGUGGGGAAUAUUGCACAAUGGGCGCAAGCCUGAUGCAGCCAUGCCGCGUGUAUGAAGAAGGCCUUCGGGUUGUAAAGUACUUUCAGCGAGGAGGAAGGCAUUAAGGUUAAUAACCUUAGUGAUUGACGUUACUCGCACAAGAAGCACCGGCUAACUCCGUGCCAGCAACCGCGGUAAUACGGAGGGUGCAAGCGUUAAUCGGAAUUACUGGGCGUAAAGCGCACGCACGCGGUCUGUCAAGUCGGAUGUGAAAUCCCCGGGCUCAACCUGGGAACUGCAUUCGAAACUGGCAGGCUAGAGUCUUGUAGAGGGGGGUAGAAUUCCAUGUGUAGCGGUGAAAUGCGUAGAGAUCUGGAGGAAUACCGGUGGCGAAUGCGGCCCCCUGGACAAAGACU
rnacentral:rRNA from 1 species